rnacentral:rRNA from 1 species
AUGAACGCUAGCGACAGGCUAACACAUGCAAGUCAGGGGUAACAGGGUAGCAAUACCGCUGACGACCGGCGCACGGGUGAGUAACGCGUAUGCAACCUGCCUAUAACUGGGGAAUAGCUCCCUGAAAGGGGAAUUAACACCGCAUAAUACUAUUGAUUCGCAUGGAUUAGUAGUUAAAUGUAGCGAUACAGGUUAUAGAUGGGCAUGCGUGACAUUAGCUAGUUGGUGAGGUAACGGCUCACCAAGGCUACGAUGUCUAGGGGUUCUGAGAGGAAGGUCCCCCCACACUGGUACUGAGACACGGACCAGACUCCUACGGGAGGCAGCAGUGAGGAAUAUUGGUCAAUGGGCGCAAGCCUGAACCAGCCAUGUCGCGUGCAGGAAGAACCUGCCCUAUGGGUUGUAAACUGCUUUUAUAGUAGAAGAAACACAUCUACGUGUAGAUGUCUGCCAGUAUACUAUGAAUAAGCAUCGGCUAACUCCGUGCCAGCCGCCGC